CCACUUUAGAUAAGUAUCUCUGAUUGAGCUACGCACAUUCGGAGCUGGCUCCUCGAGUGCCGGAUCAGUUAACACAUAUAAGAUCAGUUCGUGCUUCAGGACAAUUUUAAGCUUUCGAUACCAGCUAUCAAAAUUUGGACCCAUCAAUUUAUCACUAUCUAAUAGUGAUCGGAGCGAUAAGGUGGUGGCCAUAACUGCAAAAGUAAAAUCAGAACCUAAUUAGUAUAUGAAUUGAUU
rnacentral:lncRNA from 1 species